UAGGGAAUCUUCCACAAUGGGCGCAAGCCUGAUAGAGCAACGCCGCGUGAGUGAAGAAGGUCUUCGGAUCGUAAAACUCUGUUGUUAGAGAAGAACAUGCAGGAGAGUAACUGUUCUUGUAUUGACGGUAUCUAACCAGAAAGCCACGGCUAACUACGUGUCAG
rnacentral:rRNA from 1 species